GACGAACGCUGGCGGCGUGCUUAACGCAUGCAGGUCGAACGGUGAAGCCCUUCGGGGUGGAUCAGUGGCGAACGGGUGAGUAACACGUGAGCAACCUGCCCCUGGCUCUGGGACAACCACUGGAAACGGUGGCUAAUACCGGAUACGACCCGCCUCGGCAUCGAGUGUGGGUGGAAAGUUUUUCGGCUGGGGAUGGGCUCGCGGCCUAUCAGCUUGUUGGUGAGGUGAAGGCUCACCAAGGCGACGACGGGUAGCCGGCCUGAGAGGGCGACCGGCCACACUGGGACUGAGACACGGCCCAGACUCCUACGGGAGGCAGCAGUGGGGAAUAUUGCACAAUGGGCGAAAGCCUGAUGCAGCGACGCCGCGUGAGGGAUGACGGCCUUCGGGUUGUAAACCUCUUUCAGCUCCGAAGAAGCGAAAGUGACGGUAGGAGCAGAAGAAGCACCGGCUAACUACGUG
rnacentral:rRNA from 1 species